AGGCGACGGGUGUCAGGGCAGCUAAAUUGAGUAGUCCGGAUUAGGAACUCCACUCCAGUCGUCUUUCUAGUUCACAUGACAGAGAGAGGUCAAAACACCAACGAGGACCCCCGGGACUGGCAGGAAGAACGGAUGACGCUGGUGACCGUGUGAAACUGAGGCUCUGCGGCAGCGAACAUUCAGAUGACAAGGACUUACACGUCUUUGUGUCACGCUAGCCUCCAGGAGGGCCCCCGGACUGGCGACAGCAAAACACGCCAUACAAACCAGUUCCACUUGACUGCCAAGGGAAAAACUAAUCGUUCUUCAAGCAUUUAGGGAAAGGCCAUGAUUCCCGAGGAAGAAGGGAGACGAGAAUGGCCCAAAAUGGAACCAAGUGUGCCAGAAAAGACGAGACACCUCUGGAGACUUCUGGGGAAAUUCGUGGUAAAAUGUCAGUGUUAGAAAACAGUAGCUGUCACUACCACUGUGGAAUGAAAGUGAUGAGAAACCAUUAAAACCCUCAUUUAAUCCACUGAGAAA
rnacentral:lncRNA from 1 species